UACGGAGGGUGCAAGCGUUAAUCGGAAUUACUGGGCGUAAAGCGCACGUAGGUGGUUUGUUAAGCUAGCUGUGAAAUCCCCGGGCUCAACCUGGGCACUGCAGUUAGGACUGGCAAGCUAGAGUAGGGUAGAGGGGUGUGGAAUUCCAGGUGUAGCGGUGAAAUGCGUAGAUAUCUGGAGGAACAUCAGUGGCGAAGGCGGUGGUCUGGGCCGUGACUGACGCUGAGGAGCGAAAGCCAGGGGAGCGAACGGG
rnacentral:rRNA from 1 species